rnacentral:rRNA from 1 species
UCUCGGGUGACGAGCGGCGGACGGGUGAGUAAUGUCUGGGAAACUGCCUGAUGGAGGGGGAUAACUACUGGAAACGGUAGCUAAUACCGCAUAACGUCGCAAGACCAAAGUGGGGGACCUUCGGGCCUCAUGCCAUCAGAUGUGCCCAGAUGGGAUUAGCUGGUAGGUGGGGUAACGGCUCACCUAGGCGACGAUCCCUAGCUGGUCUGAGAGGAUGACCAGCCACACUGGAACUGAGACACGGUCCAGACUCCUACGGGAGGCAGCAGUGGGGAAUAUUGCACAAUGGGCGCAAGCCUGAUGCAGCCAUGCCGCGUGUGUGAAGAAGGCCUUCGGGUUGUAAAGCACUUUCAGCGGGGAGGAAGGCGGUGAGGUUAAUAACCUCGUCGAUUGACGUUACCCGCAGAAAAAGCACCGGCUAACUCCGUGCCAGCAGCCGCGGUAAUACGGAGGGUGCAAGCGUUAAUCGGAAUUACUGGGCGUAAAGCGCACGCAGGCGGUCUGUCAAGUCGGAUGUGAAAUCCCCGGGCUCAACCUGGGAACUGCAUUCGAAACUGGCAGGCUAGAGUCUUGUAGAGGGGGGUAGAAUUCCAG